rnacentral:rRNA from 1 species
UACGGGGGGGGCAAGCGUUGUUCGGAAUUACUGGGCGUAAAGGGCUCGUAGGCGGCCAACUAAGUCAGACGUGAAAUCCCUCGGCUUAACCGGGGAACUGCGUCUGAUACUGGAUGGCUUGAGUUCGGGAGAGGGAUGCGGAAUUCCAGGUGUAGCGGUGAAAUGCGUAGAUAUCUGGAGGAAUACCGGUGGCGAAGGCGGCAUCCUGGACCGGCAUUGACGCUGAGUGAGCGAAAGCCAGGGGAGCAAACGGG